CCGCCUUCGCAAACCAUGCCUGCCUGCUGCUGCAACACGGGGGUGGAGCCCGAGAUGAUGUCGCUACAAAUGCCUGGAUGUUGUCAUUACAUCACAUCCAGAAACUCACUGGAACCAGGAAGCUCCAGCACCACGAUGCAGAGCCUUGUUCCGGGCCCUGCUCUGGACAUGCACCUGCCACUGCUGCAGCACCAUGUCAUCUACAGUCAAGGUCCUAACAAGCCCAGGAAGCCCCUGCAACCGUGCCAAUGCCAGCUCUAGCCCCUUCGAUGUUCCAAGCAGGAAACAUCUCCACCCGAGACCCGGUAAUCUUCUGGAUGUAGGUAAAACAAAAGGCUAUAGAAUGUGGAGAUAUAGAAGGGGCUGAACUAAUUUCUGUACCCAUGUAUUCACCAUCAUCAGAGAACUGGCAACGGGAUGGGGGAACAAUUGCAGCAUUUCCAGUCGUUUGAGGAUGAAAUAAGAGAAAGUAUUUCAUGUGGAAUGGAAAUUGUAGGCCCUACACUGGAUGCACUGUAGAGCAUCUUGCGAUUGGUGUUAGUCCUUUAUCAGUUUAUGUUUUCUUUGGUCUGAGGAGCCUACAGCGGUGGCCCUGGCUGAUCCGAACCCCAGGAAAGACUGAGCCUUUGAAAGAAGGGACAUUAAACUCCACCAACUUUGCCUGCUGUGAGGAGAAGACCCACGCCAGAAAUCCAACAGAUUUCCAGAUGCUGUGUGAACUCUUUUUCUCCUUCCUUCCCUGAGACAAAGAAGGGUAGCUGCCAUCUUUGAGUCCUGGCCAUGAGGUGAGGUGGGGGUGGGGUGUUAGGUGUUUUUCCCCUGUGCUUUGUGGGUAUCUUGCUUUGUUAAUAAACAGUGUUACUUUUUUCCCCCACUUUCACCCAUGGGUAUUCAGUCCUCUCAUUGGCAAAAAUGGAUUAUUGGAGCCCAUCUCUUUUGAGGAAAUGCUCAUUCCAAGGCAGUUUUCUCCUAACAUUUGUCUCUAAGCUGAGAAAACACCUUAAAGGAACUCUUAAAAUUUUCUCUAGGACAUUCUUAAAAGUGAAUGACACUUUUAGUACAUGCACACCUAUUUGAUAUUCUUGCAAAAAUUAGUGUUUCUAAAAAUUACUACAGGUGAAGGAAAGUUGAGUUCAAUUAAAAAUAACCAGUCUUACCAUCUUCCUUCCCAAUCUUUUGAUCUUCAUCAGCUCUAUGUGCAGUAGCAGAUGUCUUUUCUCAAAAAGAGGACAGUUAAAUGUAAUAAGCAAAGGAUUUUCAUGUGCAAAUAACUAAUUUCUCUGUAAAAUAAAUUUCAGUUCCAUAGUAAGUACUAAAGUGGGGGUUUUGGUUGGUUGAUUUGGUAGGUGUUUUGGUGUACAAGUUUGAAAGCAAACCAGCAGGAGAUUCCAAGUCAGAACUACAAUUUAAUAGGAAAAUUACAAUAAAGGCAAUAGUACAGAAACACUGGCUUAAACUGGCAGAAUCAGACUACAACCUGACAUGCUGUUGGUCAGGGUGUUGGUAGCAGUCCGAUUAAAUGGUGGCUACAGUCCCGUUGGAGUGAUGAAUGUGGUUUUGUCAAAGCGGUGAUCCUGUAGAAAGAUCUGGUCCUUCUCUGGAGGUCCAGUGAUGGUUAUUUAGCACCUGUCCUCUGGGAAUCCAGUGAUAGUGCUCUUGUGGUGUUCCAACUCCCAGAUUACAUACAGGUAGGAAUGUUCAGUUGCUCCCCAAGGGCGGGGCAUCUCACAAUAGGAUGAUGUAAUUCUAUAAGUCAUGCUGUGAGACCUUGAUGGCCCAUUAACGUUGAUAGUGCCCCAGAAAGAGUUAUCCGGGCUGACUAAUGGAGAAGAUAAAGAACACUGCCCCACCUAUUUCAACAGAUUAUGGAGAUGGUAAUAGAAUACAUACUUUUGGUUACACCUUUUCAGUGUAACUCAAGAUGUUUGUUUUUUUUAAAACUGUCUAACAUACCUUAAAGGCAUGUUUCAAAAUAUUUGCUUUUUAUUUCUUUUGGACCUUUGAGGGGAGGAGAGAAAUGUGUGUUAAUAAGGUGUUUCCCAAUUUAGAUCUAGGGGAAAAAAAUGGUUUGGUGUAGCAUGUAGUUGUGGGUUUGGUUUGGGUAAUUUUUUGUAAUGACUAAUGCUGUUAGCUCUUUCAUGUUUAUUAAGAGGGUUCUGAAUUGUGUGUGUUAUGUGAAAAAUGCAUAUUAUAUUAUUGGCAUUUUGAAAAUAUUAAAAGGAAUAUUAUAUAUGUUAUGUUGGAAAGUUAUGCUGUAUUAAUCCUUUUAAGUAGUGUGUUAAAUAUAGUUUUUGGCUACAACAUAAUAUUAAAAUAGAAACUAUGUGAUGUAAGAUACUUUUCUAACUAGCUCAAGGAAUGGAUAAGAUAAUCAAGAAAUUCUUUGCACAGAGAUAACAGCCACAAGACACUAAAAUACCAAAGAGAAGAAUUAUUGCCUCCUUAUCGGGAAGAACCAGGCUUCUUCUGCCUCCUUUCAGACUCCACGGAGCCAAACCAUGAUUUACAAGAUGAAGGGGGAAAGUUGAAAAUAAACAGAAAAAUCCCUAGUUUGAAAGGAAUGUUUGCAUCAUGUAUGAGAUACAUGAAUAUGCAAGAGGCUAUUGCUCUUAAAGGUUAAUCCUUUGUUAGUGGACAGGCUUUUUUUUUAGGAAAGCAUCCGAACGUUUGUAAUUCUUUGCUUUUUUAUUGUCCUUUAUUGUCCUAAAUCUGAUUGUCCAAAUUCUUAUUGCUCUAAUUUUUAUUACUAUUUUUAUAACCAUUCCAUUAUUAUUAACCUUUUAAAAUUUUAAAACAAGUGAUUGAUGUUUUUCACAAUUUGUGCCGAAACUCAGGAAUUAACACCUCGCUUCUGGGACCUCAGAGGUUUCUGAGUGAGGAAGGCAUGCCCGGCCAAGUUUGGCAGCCUCGCUCUCUUUCUUCUGGCGUGAUUGGUCAGACGCAGGUUCCAACCAGUGGACAGAAAGAGACAAUAAAACAAAGAAAAGGGAAAAGGCUCCCUAAAUCUGCAGUAAUUAGCCCCCCUAAGACUAGUAAUGUGCACGAAGACUCGGAAAGGAAAAAAGGAUUGGAGAAAAAUGGCCAGUAAAGAGACGAAGCGAGAGAUAAAAGGAGUAAAGGAGUGAGAGAAUCCCCCAGGGUAACUGGGACUGGGUCCCAGGGAGAGGUUGGACCCCUCGGAGGAAGGGAGCAGAGGAGUUUCCUAGCCCAAUCCACUAGGAAAUGGGACAAAAGGAAGGGGCCCCUAAAUAUUCUGCUGAGUUGAGGCAUUAAUAUUCCCAAGAACAUCCAGAAUUAAGCAAAAUUCUGCCGGAUUGAGGAUAUGCCCAAGAGCAUCCGGAGUUGGACAACACAGCUGGAUUGAGGGAUAAAAAUGCCCAAGAGCAUCUGUGUCACCAUGAUAUUUUAUGAAAAUCCUUUCAUUAGGAUUUUCUCCUGAGAAGCUUCAGAAAAGAAAUGUAAACAAUAACUAUCUGAUGGCUGUGGAAUGUGGUCUGGAGAUGGUUUACCAACAGGUGCAUCUUGGUCUCAUGUGAGUUGUUUUUACUUGAUGACCAAUCAUGGUCCAGCUGUGUCGGACUCUCUGUCUGUCAUGAGUUUUUAUUAUUCAUUCCUUUCCUAGUCUUCUGAUGAAAUCCUUCUUCUAUUCUUUUUAGUAUACCUUUAGUAUAGCAUUUGUAAUAUAAUAUAAUAUCAUAAUAUAAUA